AGGGCUCAGGCAGUGUGACAGCAGUUAAUGUUCCCCAGAGCCUUACAUUCGGCUCUUGGCUUCUCUUAUAUUCUCUUCGCUGGCUUCCGCGUCUGUAUAUUUGUCUAGAGUCCAUUGCCUUGACUGCUACACUGUUUCAUCCAACUGUCUGAAUGCCGCCUGAAGACCCAAGAUGACAAGAGUGCCCCAAGUUGAUGGUGGUGUUCCAGGCAUCUGGGCUCUGAUGCCCCUGAGCUGUGGUGACAGCCCUCAAGGGGCCAAAGGUGGCCAAGCACAGUUCUGGAAGGGUGUGACUGAGCCUGGGUUGGGAGGGGUGGUAAUCACCGGAGCUGGAAGAGAAAGAGGCAAGGGUUGCUGUCAUUGGAAUUUGGAUGGGUUGAAAGAGCCAUCCAGAAACACUGGUAAGACAAAGAAUUUGAAAGAGAGAAAGUAUGAAUGCCAAAUAAAGAGAAGCCCUUGAAAUGUGGCCAAAGACCUAUAUUAUAUGGAGAAAUAUCAGAAGCUAGUAUUUCGAACAAGAUGCUAUUAAUAUUUUAUUUCCAUGAGAAGCGUCAUGAAAAAGGAAGGACUUUUGAGGUCAGGAUUGUAGCACCGAUCAACGACACGACUUGAUUCUCUUUUCUUACUUAUUAUAUUCAAUGAAAACAGCUACGCCUGAACUGGAGGUUUCUCUGAAGAUUCUCAGGGUCAGCGCAUCAAAACCUGUGCUAUCCCAAUAGACUGGUGGCAAAAACCAAAAACCAAAACAAAGCGAAAA